ACUUUGGUCCGUGGCUCUUUCCUGCCAACAACUUGACUCCUCUGGGUCCGCUACCUGUCGCCAUUUCAGGGUCCCUCACAGACAGGGUCUAGGGACACAAUGGGGUCAUAUUAGACAGCUGGUUACCCAACUAGCUUUCUUACAUCAAGAUUUCUCUUUUCCCUCUUGAUCUCCUGUUACAGCACGGACACUGGGGCCAUCGAAGGGACUCAUAUGUCCCGAGCGCGCAGCCCAUUCACAGGAAAGACCUACGAUUGACUUCAAUCUACUUACAGCAGAGCCUUACGAUUGACUUCAUUCAC